rnacentral:misc_RNA from 1 species
GAUGAAGAACGUAGCGAAAUGCGAUACUUGGUGUGAAUUGCAGAAUCCCGUGAACCAUCGAGUCUUUGAACGCAAGUUGCGCCCGAAGCCAUUAGGCCGAGGGCACGCCUGCCUGGGCGUCACACGUCGUUGCCCCCCCAUCUACUCCUUCGGGAUUGCGGGGGGCGGAUGAUGGCCUCUCGUGCGCCUCGUCGCGCGGUUGGCCUAAAUGCCAAGUCCUCGGCGACGCACGCCACGACAAUCGGUGGUUGCGAAACCUCGGUUGCCUGUCGUGUGCGGUCGUCGCGCAUCGAGGGCUCGAAAAAAUUGCCGGGCUUCGGCUCGACUUUCAACGCGACCCCAGGUCAGGCGGGGUUACCCGCUGAAUUUAAGCAUAUCAAUAAGGGAGGA